AUUGAACGCUGGCGGCAGGCCUAACACAUGCAAGUCGAACGAGUGGCGGACGGGUGAGUAAUGUCUGGGAACCUGCCUGAUGGAGGGGGCUAACUACUGGAAACGGUAGAUACUACCGCAAACCACCCGAUGUGGCCAGGUGGGUUGAGCUAGUAGGUGGGGUAACGGCUCACCUAGGCGACGCUGCCUAGCUGGUCUGAGAGGAUGACCAGCCACACUGGAACUGAGACACGGUCCAGACGCCUACGGGAGGCAGCAGUGGGGAAUAUUGCACAAUGGGCGCAAGCCUGAUGCAGCCAUGCCGCGUGUAUGAAGAAGGCUUUCGGGUUGUAAAGUACUGUCAGCGGGGAAGCGGUACCCGCAGAAGAAGCACCGGCUAACUCCGUGCCAGCAGCCGCGGUAAUUC
rnacentral:rRNA from 1 species